AUGUCUUUCCUCUUUGAGUGGAUCUACAAUGGCUUCAGCAGUGUGCUCCAGUUCCUAGGACUCUACAAGAAAUUUGGAAAACUUGUAUUUUUCGGUUUGGACAACGCAGGCAAAACCACUCUUCUUCACAUGCUCAAAGAUGACAGAUUGGGUCAACAUGUUCCAACACUACAUCCGACAUCAGAAAAGCUAUUAAUUGCUGGAAUGACUUUUACAACUCUUGAUCUUGGUGGACACAAGCAAGCAUGUCAGGUUUGAAAAAAUUAUCUCCAAGCAAUUAAUGAGAUUGUUUUUCUGGUGGAUUCUGCAGAUCAUUCUGGCCUCAUGGAAUCUAAAGUUGAGCUUAAUGCUUUAAUGACUGAUGAAAUAAUAUCCAAUGUGCCAAUCCUUAUAUUGGGUAACAAAAUAGACAGAACAAUGCAAUAAGUGAAGAAAAACUCUUUGAGAUAUUUGGGCUUUCUGGACAGACCACAGGAAAGAGGAACAUGGCCCUUUAGGAGCUGAACGCUCACCCCACUGAAGUGUUCAUGUGCAGUGUGCUCAAGAGGCAAGGCUAGGGCGAGGGAUUCUGCUGGCUCUCCCAAUGUAUUGACUGA
rnacentral:lncRNA from 1 species